AUUGAACGCUGGCGGCAUGCUUUACACAUGCAAGUCGAACGGCAGCGGGGAGGAGCUUGCUUCUCUGCCGGCGAGUGGCGAACGGGUGAGUAAUACAUCGGAACGUGUCGAGAAGAGGGGGAUAACCACCCGAAAGGGUGGCUAAUACCGCAUAAAUUCUGAGGAAGAAAGCUGGGGACCUAGGAAUAGGCCUGGCGCUUUUUGAGCGGCCGAUGUCGGAUUAGCUAGUUGGUGAGGUAAAGGCUCACAAAGGCGAAGAUCUGUAGCGGGUCUGAGAGGAUGAUCCGCCACACUGGGACUGAGACACGGCCCAGACUCCUACGGGAGGAAGCAGUGGGGAAUUUUGGACAAGGGGGGCAACCCUGCUGCAGCCAUGCCGCGUGUAUGAAGAAGGCCUUAGGGUUGUAAAGUACUUUUGUUAGGGAAGAAAAGUCAGCUGUGAAUAAUGGCUGAUACUGACGGUACCUAAAGAAUAAGCACCGGCUAACUACGUG
rnacentral:rRNA from 1 species